GCCAUCUGCCCAGUCUGAUCCUAAACGGCCCGUGAGUUUCAGAAUGAGGCCUCCAUGUUGUUUUAAUUAAUGUUGCUGGGAGGAUGAAGGACCAGAUCUACCCGAAUCACACUUGGAAUAAAAUGUUCUUCACACAAAGCAGCCCAAGAGUUACCUGAUGACAAAAGAGCAAACUGAGCUGAAAGAUAAAGGGGGAGCAAGAGAGCUUGAGCGAGUGAGCGAGCGAGAGAGAGAGAGAGAAGGAGGGAGGAGAGACGAGAGCAGGACGCGCAGCAAACGACACAUAAUACACAGCGAGUAACGGCAACAUAAGCUGUCAGAGUCCUGAGCUGCACACAGAUCUCAUUAAAGGAUGUAUCGACCGUCGCAGCACAGUCUGUGUGGAGCCUGACGUUCCUGAUCGUCCCUGCUGUUUUCUGAACAGACUCACUGCGUCUCUGCUCUGCUGGCGAGUGUGUGUGUUGUGUUUGGACAUCUGAUUCUCCCUCUUCCUGAAGCCUGUCCACUGCGGUCAUGGACUGCGGAUUGCGUCUGCCACCCGUCAUCGAGGAGGUCUUGGAUCCUGCAGGUGUGUGUGUGUGUGUGUGUGUGUGUGUG